AACCUGUUAACACACGGUAUUCUUUCACACCCUGGUUUUAUGAUUCUUUGUAAAUUAGUUGCAGUUUGAUUUGGAAGAAAUUUUGGUUUAGGUUGUGAGAAAUCGGGGUAUCAUUAUUGAUAUUUCACAUUGAAUUUUGUGAGAAACCAGUUUUAUGAUUCAGUUUUGGUGUAAAUAACUCUUUGUCCCAGUUUCGAGAAUUUGUUUGUUAUUAAAUAUUGCUGGAUUUAUAACCCUUGAUCUUAUUUUUUUGGUUACCAGUGCAAUAGAGUUAAAAAUUAAAACGGCAAGCAGAAAAACAUACAGGGUACAAUCUUUUCGGUGAUUUGCUUAUAGAUCAUCAAAACAAACGUUCUAUAUCUAUUAGCUACGGUUGCAGAAGACGAGACUCCUAUUAAGGCAAAGCCUGCUAUUAUCUGGGGAUCCUGAUAAUUAUAUUCUGGUUUUGUCAAACAAUAUUCAAUCCAUGCAUCUGUUUACAUAAAUUUUAAAAGUUACACAAGUUACAGACAUUAUCUCAUCAACUUUAUUACAUUGAUGGAUAAUUUUAACAAUAUAAUCACAAUGUCUACAUAAACUUCCAAAUAAAUCUGAUAUUUAUAUUGUAGUGG
rnacentral:lncRNA from 1 species